AAGGCUAAAAUAAACACGUUCUGGUUGCCCUGGAAGAAAGGGUGGGAAAGUAGCCCGCGGCGAAAAGCUCCUGACCCACUGAUGACCCCUUGGACUGAAACACUGGAAGCGAAAUCCUCUGACUCUGUGCAGUUUCAGAGAAGGGUCUGCUAUUUUCCAGUCACACUCUGAGGUCUGAUUGUCAGCUUUAUGUCUCAGAAAGUAUUCCUCGCAAUUCAGAAAAAGCUGUCUUAUGUUUCGAAGACGUAGAAAAUGCUCGCUUUUAGAAGGGAAUGAUGGCAAUAUUAUGGACUGUGGCUGGUGGAGAAAGCAAGAACUGAAUCUCAGGGCAAUUUUGAGUUUCAGAGAGGUCAGUAGUGAGUUUUUAAAAAAAGUCUAUGGCCUUCUGAAACCGAUGAUUUCUCUAUUUUUUCAAGUUAAAUGACUUUAGUGAACAUCUGUGCUAUCCCGUGCAUCUUUAUUGGAGGGGUCUUGAAAUGAAAUCCUAAGUGUUGCUUGUUUGUUUGCAGUACAUACGUAUAGUGUUGGCAUUGAGUACCCCUGGGAAUAGUGAGCAGGAGUGGGAUUUGGGCUUACUUGAAGUGCAGUGACUUAGCAGUUGAUCACAUUUUGCAGAAUUCUAUUUGCAAGCUUAGAAAAUUACCACACACAGUUCACCAUAUGGCACAACUUAUUUUGCUAAGGGGACUAUUGUAUUUGAAAAAUCAAAAGCACUCACUAAAUCCCCAAAUCUCUCUUUUUUUCCCCCUCUAUCUUCAUGGUUUCCAUGACUACAUUUCACAGCUCCAUAUUACAUCUUCAAUGUAAAUGAUUUCUCUGGAAAAACACUGUGGAGAAUUUUCAGAAGGAAGAAAGUGAGAGAGAUAUUUACUCUUCCAGGCAAAUGGUAUGUGUUGAUUUCCACAACUCUAUCUGGGACUGGGUACAACACCAAUGAGAAGUAAAUGUUAAAACCAUGAUUUCUCAAAAUUUUAAGAUGGAUCCUGUGACAAACUAGAGAUACUGGGGAUACAAAAUUUCAGCUGGCAGAAGAGAGUUGGUGGGAGUUCACUUGUGUAUAGUGAGUUGGAUUCUUAUACCGCCUAACAGUUUUUAAAUGCUCUACUUCUCUUUUAUCUUUGUGGUUUAAGGUGUGCUCUGAGCAUAUUUUUGGGUUAGGAGAAGGUACAGUCACCUGAAUUUUCCCUUCAUGAAUUUCUUAGAAUAACAAAGACAAAUAGACAUUUCUGGUGGGUUUUUUUUUUGUAUUAGGAAAAGAAUGUUAAAUUUAAUUCCAUUCCUUCUUAAAAAUUUUCUUCACAGCUGCCCUUUCCUAGUGUACCUUUCAUAUUAUCAAAGACCAUAUGUUGUUUUCAGUUGCAUGAAUGCUGUCUAGUCCACAGAGUUAUUAUUGUGUGUAACAUGAACACUACUCAGCUGCUGGAAGGCUGUGUCCAGAGCCAGAGUCUUCAUUGGUAUGUUUUAUAAGUGCUGGUACAAGGGCCUUCUAGAGUUGUUACUCAAAAAAGAAACUCUAAAUGUGCCAUAUCUUACAAACAGACAACACUGCUUCAAUGCUCCCACUCCUUGCUGUAGAAUAACAUCCUGCUGCUGCAAGAGGAAUAACACUUGAAAGGCCACGCCAGCAUGUGAAUGAAACAGACAGUGGCAGAGCUCCUAGGCAACCUUUACAUAAUCCUCCCUGUGCUGUCUCCUUCUUGGGCACACCGUUACCCUACUGGAGCAGGAUAUGAGGUAAGGGAAAAGAGCAGAAGAAUAAUCUAAGCUGUGGGAUAUGAAAGGAAGGAAUAGGAGGGAAAAAGAGGAAGGAGGGAGAGUGGAACAAGAAGUCAGUGUUUGUUUAAGGUUUGUCAUACCCCGAGGGCUGUGCUAGAUGCUUUAGACAUGUGAUCUCCUUUCAUUCUGUGUGUGUGCGCGCGCGCGCGCGUGUAAUGUGAGAAC